rnacentral:rRNA from 1 species
GAUGAACGCUGGCGGCGUGCUUAACACAUGCAAGUCGAACGGGAUCCAUCAAGCUUGCUUGGUGGUGAGAGUGGCGAACGGGUGAGUAAUGCGUGACCGACCUGCCCCAUACACCGGAAUAGCUCCUGGAAACGGGUGGUAAUGCCGGAUGCUCCAGUUGAUCGCAUGGUCUUCUGGGAAAGCUUUCGCGGUAUGGGAUGGGGUCGCGUCCUAUCAGCUUGACGGCGGGGUAACGGCCCACCGUGGCUUCGACGGGUAGCCGGCCUGAGAGGGCGACCGGCCACAUUGGGACUGAGAUACGGCCCAGACUCCUACGGGAGGCAGCAGUGGGGAAUAUUGCACAAUGGGCGCAAGCCUGAUGCAGCGACGCCGCGUGAGGGAUGGAGGCCUUCGGGUUGUAAACCUCUUUUAUCGGGGAGCAAGCGAGAGUGAGUUUACCCGUUGAAUAAGCACCGGCUAACU